rnacentral:lncRNA from 1 species
AAAUCUAGAAAGAAGAAAGGAAGCAAGAGUGCAGGUGGGGAAAAGAGGAUACAGUCCUUGAGGGGACUGGAUCACCUCUUGGGAUCAAAUCUAAGACUGUGUAACCGGCUGUAUAUGCUGCUGCCCAGGCCUGUAAACAUGUGCAGUUAGUUCCUUUUCCCUCCAAAGUGUCAAAGAGUAUUUUGUCUCUUCCGGCUGGACCCAGAAGAGACCCCCUAGAGCCAACAUAUGUCUACAGAUUGCAGCCCAGCCCUACAGUCAGGAGAUUAAAAUUUUGGACAAUUCAUGGACAUUUUUGCACCAUUAUUACCCUCAGCUACCAUAGAAAUCCCUCUACAUCCCACUGCUUGAGAUGCAGUCAUGACUGAACACACUUCAUUUCCUUUAGAAAGCUUUACUGUUCCCCCAACUUGUCCCAGUGUAAGACUCCCCACUCUCUUUCUCACUCCCACUGUAGCAGGUUCUAAUUUGUAUCAUUGUAUUUAUGACAGUUUUCCAGCACAAGUUCUUGUCAAACCUGAGGGUCAUAUCUCCAUCGUCUCCCCUGCCAAUGCUGUGAAUUAUUCCAAGCAAAAAGACCCUGUCGAACCGCCCAACACAAGCUGUGCGAUCAGCCUUUUGAGCUCUUGAGUCAUUUUAGGCGUCGGAACAAAACAAAAACAGGCUUAAAUGAAUUAUUUAUCAAGGUCGAGAAUAAUUGAUUUGUGCAGUGCCGUCAGUUCUGGAUUUUAAAUUUGUUUUCUCCCCCUCCCUACUUCCCACCCUGAAUAUGCAGCGAGGGGAGUUCGAGUUGGAACCUCCCAGGGCUAGGAGAAAACGCACCAUAUUCGGGAAGUUGGUGGAUGAUGAUGUUGGAAUGGGAAGAACCCUAAUCGAUAUUUGAAGAGGGUAGAGUAGGUAGGGUCAGCCUGCAGUCUCGGGCAGCCCUAGAGCCCUUCCUGUCCUCCCCACAGCGGUCAACUGUGACAGAGGCGCAGGAUAUUUAGGCUGCGAAGCUGUGCAGCGUCGGGCCCUGCGGCCUCGGAUAAGCCACCUCCACAAGUCUACCGUCUGUGUUUCGGUAACCGCGGCCGAAGGCCGAGGCCGAGGCCGAGGCCGAGCCCGCGAGCUCUCCGGAGGGUCUCCCGGGCCAGCACUCAGUUCCCGCGCCAAAGGCAUUUGAUCCAACCCCGCUCCAGCCUACAGUGGCCCGACCCCACCCGGCGGGGCCCAGUCACCCGUUCCCGAGGGCCUCCCCGCACCCCUCUGGCCACUGUCGGCCCCUGCCGGGAUGGAGCACGUCCGGAGUCCCCGCCUCGGCUCACCAACCCCGUCUUCUCCGCCAAACUCCCUUCGCCUUCCGAGAAGAGCGAGAGCUGCCCGGAUUGUGCAUCUCCUUGCCUCCGUCCCUUCAAUCCCCGCUGUUCUCUCGGAACAGCCCUAGGAAAAAUGCCACUGAGACGAUGAGAAACAGCUCAACCCACCC